CUCUUGGAGUCACAGACGCUGCUGCUGAGCACUUCCACUGGCCACCUCCUUUUCCGGCGCUGUUCGUGGGCAGGCAAAAUGGCCGACUCGUCAGUUACAGUGCGCACCCGAAAAUACAUGACUAACCGUCUGCUGUGCAGAAAACAAAUGGUGGUGGACAUCAUCCAUCCCAACCGUGGCACAGUCUCCAAGAACGAGGUGCGCGAGAAGCUCAGCACCAUGUACAACACAACACCCGAUGUGGUCUUCUGCUUUGGCUUUCGCACACAAUUUGGCGGUGGCAAGACCUCUGGUUUUGCCCUGAUCUAUGACACCCUGGACUUCGCCAAGAAAUUCGAACCCAAGUACAGGUUGUGCAGGAAUGGCCUUGGUGAGAAAGGCAGAACAGGUCGCAAGCAGCGAAAGGAACGAAAGAACCGUAUGAAGAAGGUUCGGGGAACAAAGAAGGCCAAGGUUGGAGCAGCCGCAGGGAAGAAACGCUAAUGGGGCUCUCGCUCGCUCUGCUCUGUCAUUGGCUUUGGCUGGUCGGGUGCUUUCAAGUGACCUGGGACCCACCCCAAGAAUGGUUGCGCCGCCACGUGUACAUUUGGCCACCUCAAUAAAUGUGGAUGGCGCACAA